GAUGAACGCUGGCGGCGUGCCUAAUACAUGCAAGUCGAGCGAACAGACGAGGAGCUUGCUCCUCUGACGUUAGCGGCGGACGGGUGAGUAACACGUGGAUAACCUACCUAUAAGACUGGGAUAACUUCGGGAAACCGGAGCUAAUACCGGAUAAUAUAUUGAACCGCAUGGUUCAAUAGUGAAAGACGGUUUUGCUGUCACUUAUAGAUGGAUCCGCGCCGCAUUAGCUAGUUGGUAAGGUAACGGCUUACCAAGGCAACGAUGCGUAGCCGACCUGAGAGGGUGAUCGGCCACACUGGAACUGAGACACGGUCCAGACUCCUACGGGAGGCGGCAGUAGGGAAUCUUCCGCAAUGGGCGAAAGCUUGACGGAGCAACGCCGCGUGAGUGAUGAAGGUCUUCGGAUCGUAAAACUCUGUUAUUAGGGAAGAACAAAUGUGUAAGUAACUAUGCACGUCUUGACGGUACCUAAUCAGAAAGUCACGGCUAACUACGUG
rnacentral:rRNA from 1 species